ensembl:misc_RNA Metazoa_SRP Metazoan signal recognition particle RNA
GCCAGGCAUGGUGGCACACGCCUGUAGUCCCAGCUACUGGGAGGCUGAGGUGGGAGGAUCACUUGAACCCAGGAGGUUGAGAUUGCAGUGAGACAAGAUGGCACCACUGCACUCUAGCCUGGGCAAUAGAGCGAGACCCUGUCUCAA